UUUUCGGGUUUUCCUGUAUCU
rnacentral:piRNA from 1 species